GUGCAGCAGUGGGGGAAGGAGGGGGUGGGGGAGGUGGGGGGGGGGCUGCUGUUAGGCAGAUCCAGGAGGGCAGAGGUGUCAAAGCAGUUUUACAGCUUUCUGGUGCUGAUAUGUGCCGGAGCCAGGGGACUUUCUGAUGGACGUAUGGGAGCAACACAUACAGACUGUUUGAAAGGGUCAUCUGCGUAUUUCACAGCAGCGGCCCGUGGGGGCAGCCCGUUGGCAGUGGAGGGACCCAGGCCCUUCUGGCUGUUCCAGAGGACCCACCAGGACAGGGUUUCAGAGGAACACGAGAGCAGCUAAGCCCCUCGCUCAUGUCAGGGGAGCUGGGGGCAAGGACUUUCAGAGCUGGGUGUUUUGGGGCAAGGAAAAUUGGGGUAUGGCUUUUUGACAGUAAGGAGGUUUGGAAGUAAGGGCAUCACGAGGGAGCCUGGAGAUGGAAGCACUCAGGGCCGAGGGCACUUGCGAGCAAGGGCUGCUGGACGCACGGCACAGCCCCUCGGCGAUGGCACUCGAGGCUGAGGUUCUUUGGUGGUGAAAGCAUACAGGGCUAAGAGGGGAUGAGAGCGAAGAUAGAAAUAAUUUUGCUGUGGAUCCAAAUGGUGGCAUCGUGCUGUACUGACUUCGUCUCUUGUCUUCAUUCCACUAGCUUUUCACAAGGACGUGCUUUGGAGGCAUGACUUUACAAAGGUUGGAGCUGUCAUGGUCAAGCACUGAGAGGAGGCAUUUAUUAAGCACUGCGAACGACAGGCUGGUAAAAGACUGCCUACAACUUUGUCUUUUGCAGCACCAAAUACAGAGUAUUAUUUAACAUUUCACGCACAACUUUGCAGAAAAGUUUUGUCCCCUUGGAAUCCUCCUAAGAUCCCACUGUAUGGUUAUGGCUGAAAAAAAAU
rnacentral:lncRNA from 1 species